rnacentral:rRNA from 1 species
GAGUUUGAUCAUGGCUCAGAUUGAACGCUGGCGGCAGGCCUAACACAUGCAAGUCGAGCGGUAGCACAGAGAGCUUGCUCUCGGGUGACGAGCGGCGGACGGGUGAGUAAUGUCUGGGAAACUGCCUGAUGGAGGGGGAUAACUACUGGAAACGGUAGCUAAUACCGCAUAACGUCGCAAGACCAAGGUGGGGGACCUUCGGGCCUCAUGCCAUCAGAUGUGCCCAGAUGGGAUUAGCUAGUAGGUGGGGUAACGGCUCACCUAGGCGACGAUCCCUAGCUGGUCUGAGAGGAUGACCAGCCACACUGGAACUGAGACACGGUCCAGACUCCUACGGGAGGCAGCAGUGGGGAAUAUUGCACAAUGGGCGCAAGCCUGAUGCAGCCAUGCCGCGUGUGUGAAGAAGGCCUUCGGGUUGUAAAGCACUUUCAGCGGGGAGGAAGGCGUUAAGGUUAAUAACCUUGGCGAUUGACGUUACCCGCAGAAGAAGCACCGGCUAACUCCGUGCCAGCAGCCGCGGUAAUACGGAGGGUGCAAGCGUUAAUCGGAAUUACUGGGCGUAAAGCGCACGCAGGCGGUCUGUCAAGUCGGAUGUGAAAUCCCCGGGCUCAACCUGGGAACUGCAUUCGAAACUGGCAGGCUAGAGUCUUGUAGAGGGGGGUAGAAUUCCAGGUGUAGCGGUGAAAUGCGUAGAGAUCUGGAGGAAUACCGGUGGCGAAGGCGGCCCCCUGGACAAAGACUGACGCUCAGGUGCGAAAAGCGUGGGGAGCAAACAGGAUUAGAUACCCUGGUAGUCCACGCCGUAAACGAUGUCGAUUUGGAGGUUGUGCCCUUGAGGCGUGGCUUCCGGAGCUAACGCGUUAAAUCGACCGCCUGGGGAGUACGGCCGCAAGGUUAAAACUCAAAUGAAUUGACGGGGGCCCGCACAAGCGGUGGAGCAUGUGGUUUAAUUCGAUGCAACGCGAAGAACCUUACCUGGUCUUGACAUCCACAGAACUUUCCAGAGAUGGAUUGGUGCCUUCGGGAACUGUGAGACAGGUGCUGCAUGGCUGUCGUCAGCUCGUGUUGUGAAAUGUUGGGUUAAGUCCCGCAACGAGCGCAACCCUUAUCCUUUGUUGCCAGCGGUCCGGCCGGGAGCUCAAAGGAGACUGCCAGUGAUAAACUGGAGGAAGGUGGGGAUGACGUCAAGUCAUCAUGGCCCUUACGACCAGGGCUACACACGUGCUACAAUGGCAUAUACAAAGAGAAGCGACCUCGCGAGAGCAAGCGGACCUCAUAAAGUAUGUCGUAGUCCGGAUUGGAGUCUGCAACUCGACUCCAUGAAGUCGGAAUCGCUAGUAAUCGUAGAUCAGAAUGCUACGGUGAAUACGUUCCCGGGCCUUGUACACACCGCCCGUCACACCAUGGGAGUGGGUUGCAAAAGAAGUAGGUAGCUUAACCUUCGGGAGGGCGCUUACCACUUUGUGAUUCAUGACUGGGGUGAAGUCGUAACAAGGUAACCGUA